rnacentral:rRNA from 1 species
GAUGAACGCUGGCGGCGUGCCUAAUACAUGCAAGUCGAACGAAACUUCUUUAUCACCGAGUGCUUGCACUCACCGAUAAAGAGUUGAGUGGCGAACGGGUGAGUAACACGCGGGCAACCUGCCCAAAAGAGGGGGAUAACACUUGGAAACAGGUGCUAAUACCGCAUAACCAUAGUUACCGCAUGGUAACUAUGUAAAAGGUGGCUAUACUACCGCUUUUGGAUGGGCCCGCGGCGCAUUAGCUAGUUGGUAGGGUAAAGGCUUACCAAGGCAAUGAUGCGUAGCCGAAUUGAGAGGUUGAUCGGCCACAUUGGGACUGAGACACGGCCCAAACUCCUACGGGAGGCAGCAGUAGGGAAUCUUCCACAAUGGGCGAAAGCCUGAUGGAGCAACGCCGCGUGGGUGAAGAAGGUCUUCGGAUCGUAAAACCCUGUUGUUAGAGAAGAAAGUGCGUGAGAGUAACUGUUCACGUUUCGACGGUAUCUAACCAGAAAGCCACGGCUAACUACGUG